GUGCUUUGCUUUGGCAGCACAUAGACUAAAAUCGGAACGAUGCAGAGAUUAGUAUGGCCCUGUGCAGGGACGGCGUGCAGAUUCGUGAAGUAAACCAUAUUUUU
rnacentral:snRNA from 1 species